AACGAACGCUGGCGGCAUGCCUAACACAUGCAAGUCGAACGAGCCCUUCGGGCAGAGUGGCGCACGGGUGCGUAACGCGUGGGCGACUGCCCUUAGGGUCGGAAUAACUCCCCGAACGUGGUGCUAAUACCGGGAAAUGUCUUCGAACCAAGGGUUUAUCGCCUUUGUGUGGGCGCGUGUUGGGUUAGCUAGUUAGUAGGGUAAGAGGCUAUUAACGCGAGGAUCAAUAGGUGGUCUAUGAGGAUGAUCAGACACUCUAGGAGUACGACACAGCCGAGACUCUUACGGGAAGCAGCAGUGGCGAAUAUUGCAACAUGGGCGGAAGCCUGAUGGAUCUAUGCCGCGUGAGUGAUGAAGUUGGUAGGGUUGUAAAGCUCUUUUACCCGGGAUGAUAAUGACAGUACCGGGAGAAUAAGCUCCGGCUAACUCCGUG
rnacentral:rRNA from 1 species